rnacentral:rRNA from 1 species
GACGAACGCUGGCGGCGUGCUUAACACAUGCAAGUCGUACGGUAAGGCCCUUUCGGGGGUACACGAGUGGGGGACGGGUGAGUAACACGUGAGUAACCUGCCCACCUCUUUGGGGUAACGCUAGGAAACUGGUGCUAAUACUGGAUAUGUGCACCUGCUGCAUGGAGGGGGUUGGAAAGCUCCGGCGGUCUUGGAUGGACUCGCGGCCUAUCAGCUUGUUGGUGGGGUAGUGGCCUACCGAGGCGGCGGCUGGUGGCCGGACUGAGAGGGUGACCGGCGACAUUGGGACUUACAGACGGCCCCGCUUCCUACGGGGGGCAGGAGUGGGGAAUCUUGAACCAUAGGUGCCAGCCUGAUGCAGAAACCCCGCGUGCGGGAAGACGGCCUUGGGGUUGUAAACCGCUUUCGCCAGGGAAGAAGCUUUUUGUGACGGUACCUGAAGAAGAAGCACCGGCUAACUACGUG